rnacentral:rRNA from 1 species
UACAGGUUCGUGGAAGACCACCACGUUGAUAGGUCGCAGGUGUAAGUGCAGCAAUGUAUUGAGCCAAGCGAUACUAAUUACCAAUUGACUUCAUCAUAUUACAU